AUACGGAGGGUGCAAGCGUUAUUCGGAAUCACUGGGCGUAAAGGACGCGUAGGCGGGUUGGCAAGUCAGAUGUGAAAUCCUACAGCUUAACUGUAGAACUGCAUUUGAAACUUCUAAUCUAGAGUAUGGGAGGGGGAGAUGGAAUUAGUGGUGUAGGGGUAAAAUCCGUAGAUAUCACUAGGAAUACCGAAAGCGAAGGCGAUCUCCUGGAACAUAACUGACGCUAAGGCGUGAAAGCGUGGGGAGCAAACGGGAUUAGAAACCCCAGUAGUCC
rnacentral:rRNA from 1 species